rnacentral:lncRNA from 1 species
GGAGUCGCCUGGCGCGGAGAGCGCGCGCGGAGCUCGCCCAGGGAUUGUUUGGCAAAAGGAAUCUACGUGCUGUCUGCGCCAUUCCCCAGUGGUUUUAGCCAAGGCUGCUCUUGUAGAAUUUUCUUUCAGAUAUUGUACUAAAGGUGUCGUUUUUCCUUGAAACGUUCUCAUUGGUGCGAGAGUACGCGGGACUCUCACUGUUGUGGCCUCUCCCACUGUGGAGCACAGGCUCCGGACGCGCAGGCUCAGCGGCCAUGGCUCACGGACCCAGGGAAAACACUUCUUUCCCACAUCAGAUGUUUCUUAAAGUAUGGAGGGGGUGCCACUAACAUAACACUCGAUACCUCAUUCCAGCGCUUCUAACAAGUUUCCUGAUGUGGCAUUCUGGGAACAACACCUACCCUUUACCAGUGGCCCCCUGAGAUUCCACAAAAGAGCUGAAAUCAGUAUUGAAGUAGCCUUAUGAAGAUGGGAGCAGGACUACGCUAACUGACUGCUGACUUCUUACCCAAGGGGGAUAACCAUGUCCUAAGAAUUUACAGGGACAAGUCUUUGGAGUAGGUGGAGGGGAGAGUUUCUGUAAUCCCGUUCUGCCAGUCAGCAACCCAGUGGUAAGUCUGCCUUGUCCUAGGGUUCAGUGUUGGGAGGCCCACUGGCGCCAUCUCGCCUCCAGCGUCAGCUUUAUCAGGAAGAGCGACAGUUCUCAGCUGUCUACUUUUUUCCUGUUUUUCAGUUGGCUCACAACUUGGUAGGAAGAGGGAUGUGGUUUACUGAGUCCCCUAAACGUUCUCAGUCCUUAACAGUGCUGUGCCUAUUAACACCACAAAUACUGUGAAUUUUCCUAUGUUUUUUUAGCCAUGAAAUUACAUUCAAUCCUACCUGUUAUUUUUCUAAUAAUAUUUUGUGUAUAUUUCAUAGAUUUGUACAUCCUAAUGAGUGUAGUUUGUUUUCAAAAUGUUAUUUUCUAAAGGACUGUUACUGGGCAAUAUAUGAAACAUCAGCAUAGUUAAGUUCAGGAGAAAGAGAAUUGCUCUGUAGCCUUAAACAGCUAGUUCUUCAAGACACAUUGUUGCCAGAGUUUCAUAGAAGGUGAAUGAAUACAUUAGGGGUUGAUUGUAAGGAGAUCAGGCGUGCCAUUCUGUUUCUUCCUGUUCUGUAAGUUACUUGGCCUGCUAAGCCUUUUAACAUUCAUAAAACAAUGAUAUAAAAUAUGGCCCUCAUAUGAGACAAUAAGAUUAUAAAGCACGAAUCUUUGUUUUGUAAGCAACUUGGGUCUUUAGAAAAUGAGCUGCUUUUUAGAUUAC